GAUGAAGAACGUAGCGAAAUGCGAUAAGUAGUGUGAAUUGCAGAAUUCGGUGAAUCAUCGAAUCUUUGAACGCACAUUGCGCCCCUUGGUAUUCCAUGGGGCAUGCCUGUUCGAGCGUCAUUUGUACCUUCAAGCCUUGCUUGGUGUUGGGUGUUUGUCUCGCCUCUGCGCGCAGACUCGCCUCAAAACAAUUGGCAGCCGGCGUAUUGAUUUCGGAGCGCAGUACAUCUCGCGCUUUGCACUCAGAACGACGACGUCCAAAAGUACAUUUUUACACUCUUGACCUCGGAUCAGGUAGGGAUACCCGCUGAACUUAAGCAUAUCAAUAAGCGGAGGA
rnacentral:misc_RNA from 1 species